UCGGGAAAAGGGGGAAACACGGCGGGAUUUCACACGAGGGGGCCUCGGGGUGGCGGCUGGGAGUUAUCACCCCGCUGGGAUCAUCAUCCCGCUGGGAUCAUCAUCCCCCUGGGAUCUUCGUCCCGCUGGGAUGUCACUGAGCUGCUGCCACAGGGAUGGCACUGCGGAGGUCACAGCUGAAAUCCUGCGUUCAGCUCUGGAUCCAGAAUGGAAAGAAGAGAGACACCUCCGAAUGGAUAUCCCAUUCCAUCAGUUUGUCCUUGGGGGAUCCCCCUGUGCUGCCAGAACAGAGCCAGGAGCAACGUAAAAAUGCAACCUAAAUGUCCCAAGCUUCUCCACUGCACAAAAAGGGGAUUUGAGGCUGUUUUUUCAUGGAAUUCCAACAGCCCCGGGCACUGCAACUGGCCUUUGGGAUGAGCAGCAAAUACCAAUUUCCUCGGAUCAUGGCAAGGAGGUUUCUUUAUUAAAUUUUAGUGAACUUUAUUGAA